GUUGGCACAAGAUAGCAAAGGUUAACACAAGAUAGUAAUAGAGAUAGAUAUGAGUAUUCCCUCCUUAGGAUCCAGGUUCACAAGAAUAAGCAUCUAUUACACAGAUGGGUGCUGCCCUCACUAGCUAUCAUACCGGUUAUGUGCUUGCUCGGCCUUUUCCCCACUGCAUACUGUUACUACGCAAGGAUAAUCAACCACCUCACUCACACACACUAUAUCGAAGCAUCACACACACUAGAGAACUGACCUUCCAUCCAC
rnacentral:lncRNA from 1 species